rfam:Bacillus azotoformans LMG 9581 contig146, whole genome shotgun sequence.
GUAAUUGCAAUGAGAAAGAAAAGUACAUAUUUGGCAGCUUACAGAGAGCUUGUGGUUGGUGGAAACAAGCAGUGAAAAAAUAUGGAAUGGGCUUUUGAGCACAUCCGGCAGCGUAUUGAAGUGAUUCUUACAUAGAAUAACAAGGGUGGCACCACGGUCCAUUCGUCCCUUAC